rnacentral:snoRNA from 1 species
AAGAUCAUACUUUUAGGGAUUAUUUCUAUAGUGUGCAUCUUAAAACGUUAUCAAAAUAUAAGGAAUUUCU